rnacentral:rRNA from 1 species
UACGGGGGGAGCAAGCGUUGUUCGGAUUUACUGGGCGUAAAGGGCGCGUAGGCGGUCGUGACAAGUCACUUGUGAAAUCUCCGGGCUUAACUCGGAACGGUCAAGUGAUACUGUCGGACUAGAGUACAGAAGGGGCAACUGGAAUUCUCGGUGUAGCGGUGAAAUGCGUAGAUAUCGAGAGGAACACCGGUGGCGAAGGCGGCUUUCUGGACAGUGACUGACGCUGAGACGCGAAAGCGUGGGGAGCAAACAGG